CCUACGGGGGGCAGCAGUGGGGAAUAUUGCACAAUGGGCGCAAGCCUGAUGCAGCCAUGCCGCGUGUGUGAAGAAGGCCUUCGGGUUGUAAAGCACUUUCAGCGGGGAGGAAGGCGGUGAGGUUAAUAACCUCAUCGAUUGACGUUACCCGCAGAAGAAGCACCGGCUAACUCCGUGCCAGCAGCCGCGGUAAUACGGAGGGUGCAAGCGUUAAUCGGAAUUACUGGGCGUAAAGCGCACGCAGGCGGUCUGUCAAGUCGGAUGUGAAAUCCCCGGGCUCAACCUGGGAACUGCAUUCGAAACUGGCAGGCUAGAGUCUUGUAGAGGGGGGUAGAAUUCCAGGUGUAGCGGUGAAAUGCGUAGAGGUCUGGAGGAAUACCGGUGGCGAAGGCGGCCCCCUGGACAAAGACUGACGCUCAGGUGCGAAAGCGUGGGGAGCAAACAGGAUUAGAUACCCCAGUAGUC
rnacentral:rRNA from 1 species